rnacentral:misc_RNA from 1 species
UUGAAUUCAUCUGCUGGGUUGUUGCUGGUUCCAUUUCUGGUUCACGUGCACACCUGGCUCUUGAUCUCUUUCCACCUGUGCACUUUUGUAGGCAGUACCUUUGCAGUAGCAGUAUUUGUCUGAACAAACCAAAACUAUUA